UAAGACGAACCGUACGAACGUUAUUCGGAAUCACUGGGCUUAAAGGGUGCGUAGGCGGCGCGGAAAGUAGGGUGUGAAAUCCCUCGGCUCAACCGAGGAACUGCGCCCUAAACUGCCGUGCUCGAGGGAGAUAGAGGUGAGCGGAACUUAGGGUGGAGCGGUGAAAUGCGUUGAUAUCCUAAGGAACACCGGUGGCGAAAGCGGCUCACUGGAUCUCUUCUGACGCUGAGGCACGAAAGCUAGGGUAGCGAACG
rnacentral:rRNA from 1 species